GUGAAUCAUCAAAUUUUUGAACGCAAAUUGCACUCUCUUCGGAGAGUAGGCCUGUGUGAGGGUCAGUAUUAAUAAAAAUCGGUGUGUUGCUUCUUUGUGACGUUUUGGUGUUUGGGUCAUGUUAAUAUCCUUUAGGAUUUAAGUGGCUUAAAGUUGACUUUUUUUGCGCAUUUUAGAUGUACAUGAAUUCUUUUUUUUAUUCGUCUGUCUCAAUGCUCAAUAUUCUAUUAGAUGAGCCCA
rnacentral:misc_RNA from 1 species